rnacentral:rRNA from 1 species
UACAGAGGGUGCGAGCGUUGUCCGGAAUCACUGGGCGUAAAGGGCGCGUAGGCGGCCUGGUAAGCGUGCGGUGAAAGCCCGGGGCUCAACCCCGGGUCGGCCGUGCGAACUGCGAGGCUGGAGCACUGUAGAGGCAGGUGGAAUUCCGGGUGUAGCGGUGGAAUGCGUAGAGAUCCGGAAGAACACCGGUGGCGAAGGCGGCCUGCUGGGCAGUGGCUGACGCUGAGGUGCGAAAGCGUGGGGAGCAAACAGG